CAACUGCACAUUUAGAACUCAGUUGAGAACUGGACUAUCACUAGGAUGAGUGAACCUAUAAAGACCAUGCUAUCAUUCUGUCUCCUCAAAAGCCACCUUCCCCUCCCUGCCUUCUUCCCGUGUGGCUGCCUCUGUCUCUGAAGCUCCUUCCCUCAGGCCGCACAUUCUCAGGCCUUGACGCCAGCCCAGUGAUCAGGAUCACUGUGCCCCUGUGAAGUUUUUGUUUCUAGGUCAGUGCAGAGACCCAGGCUCUCACAGGAGAUAACAGCUAAUCUCAGGCUGAAUGAUGUGGCCAGCUAGAAAGGCUGACUUUGUACCUUGGCUAGGCCAAGGUACCUAGUUUCGCUAAAGCACCAGUCUACGAGUUGCCUGUGAUUGUUUUUCAGAUGUGAUGAACAUUUAAGUCAGUAGGUUUUGAGUAAAGCAAAGAACCUUUAUAAUAUGGGGAGGUCUCAGCCAGUCAGUUGAAGGACAGAUAGCCUGAGGUUUCCUAAGUAAGUCAGAAUUCAGCCUGUAGAUUGUGUGCAUGCUCAACAUGUGCUAUCAAUUCUUUUUUCCAUCCUCCUUCCUCAGCCUGCAAGAACGCUGGCAUUACAGGCAUGCACCGCCAUCUCCAGCUCCCUGAGUCUCCAUCCUAUGGUCUGCCCAGCUGAUUUCAGACUUGCUAGACAAUACUGAAAACAAUACACAAAACAAGACACCAAAUAGUGAAGUGGACUGCCCAAUUUCACACAACUACUAAAUGAAUAAGCCAGGAGUCAUGCCCAGAUUGCAAAAAACUGUGUCCAGAAUGCCAUCAAAUGUGACAUAAAGCCUCAGACCAAAAUGAAGCAGUAGGUGUGCUCAGCCUUGAAUGCGUCUACCAGAGGAAAACCCACCCCAGAUGGCAUAUCCAAUUUAAUCAACAUCACCUGUGAGCCAAACUGAACAGUAAAUGUUAAGACAGGAUCACUAAUAAUGGGGACCUGGAAUGUAGCCAGAAUUAAAACAAUGAUCUGCUUAACAAUCCCUCUGGGCUGGAUGCAUGUGGAGAACGGAUAAAUGCUGGAUAUCGAAACAGCUGUUCUAUGGCAAACUGAAAUGGGGCAAUCAUAGAUAGG
rnacentral:lncRNA from 1 species